rnacentral:rRNA from 1 species
CCUAUCAACUUUCGAUGGUACUUUCUGCGCCUACCAUGGUGACCACGGGUAACGUGGAAUCAGGGUUCGAUUCCG